rnacentral:rRNA from 1 species
AGAGUUUGAUCCUGGCUCAGGAUGAACGCUAGCGGCAGGCUUAAUACAUGCAAGUCGUGGGGCAGCGCAGUGUAGCAAUACAUGGGCGGCGACCGGCAAACGGGUGCGUAACACGUACGCAACCUUCCCGUUACUGGUGAAUAGCCCAGGGAAACUUGGAUUAAUACACCAUAUUAUAUUGAUUGGGCAUCUGAUUAAUAUCAAAGCUUCGGCGGUAACGGAUGGGCGUGCGGUUGAUUAGGUAGUUGGCGGGGUAACGGCCCACCAAGCCUACGAUCAAUAGCUGAUGUGAGAGCAUGAUCAGCCACACGGGCACUGAGACACGGGCCCGACUCCUACGGGAGGCAGCAGUAAGGAAUAUUGGGCAAUGGACGAAAGUCUGACCCAGCCAUGCCGCGUGGAGGAUGAAGGUCCUCUGGAUUGUAAACUUCUUUUUUCUGGGGCGAAAACCGGUCAUUCCUGACCAUUUGACAGUACCAGAAGAAUAAGCACCGGCUAACUCCGUGCCAGCAGCCGCGGUAAUACGGAGGGUGCAAGCGUUAUCCGGAUUCACUGGGUUUAAAGGGUGCGUA